GCAGGAGUCGCCGAGCCUGGCCAAAGGCGCGGGACUUAAGAUCCCGUCUCUUAGGGGUUCGUGGGUUCAAAUCCCACCUCCUGCA
rnacentral:tRNA from 3 species